CUUGUUUGGGCGGACAACGUGAAAAAACGGACGACCUUUAUAUACCGCGUUAUAAAACAAAACACACGCAUCGAAUCGAACGCGUAAUUUGUCGGUUAUAAAUACGGGUGUUUUGAGCGUGAUAUAUAUUCGUAGCGUGUGAAAUCAGUGCGACGGAUAUCAGUGAAAAUCCAGAAAGAGAAAAGCAUCGAUUGUCCUUUGUGUGAUCGUCGUUACUCGGCUUUUUGUUCCUCGGGACGCCACCGCGACGUGUCGUGCUUGGGGCUCGAACGAGUGAGAGUCUCAUCAUAAGCUUCGAGGUCCAAUUGCAAACAUCAUCGUGUUAUACCUGCGCGUCCCUCUCACAAAGUGCGGCUCAUCGAAGGUCUCGCUGUCUCAGCGGUUGAGAGACGUGGAAUGAUAUUUCGUCGAAAUUGAAGGUGCAGCCAAGCUCGGUAGGCAACGACGUGACACGCGAACCAAAUAUUUGAUACGUUAGGUAAGAAGUAUGCUGCAUAUCGUCAAAGUUGAAAAAAAAAUCGAUUUAACGGAAUAUUCGCAUAGUGUAACAGUUUCGCGCGUUAUUUGUCCGAUUUUUUAUAAAGUGCAAGAGUAAUCAGUUCGUUGAAUCCUUGAAAUUUGAGGUUGUGACACAGUUGUGCUUCGGUGACUAAAGAAAUCGAUAGAUCGUAAAUCGAUAGGUGAGACACGACCGAAGUAAUACAGUCGCUGGUGUUGAUUCUUUAUGCGACGUUUAUAUGUGUGUUCAUUUAUUCCAUAUACGAUAGAAAAAGUGCAAGCAAGAUAAAAGAUUAGAUGCAAUAUACGACACAUGAGGAGCAAAUUCAUUUAGAGGCUGUUGGAGCUCUCGGGUAAGAAGACGGCGAGAAAGAGAGAAGGGCGCCUCGUAGUGGCUCCGAAGGAAAGGAAAACUCACCGUUCGCCGGCUUAUAGACAACGUCGGGUUCGCUUGCUUUCUUUCUUUUUCUCUCCCGUCUUUCCCCUCUUCUCCCUUUCACUCGACUCGAGGCUUGCACGAAAUCGCGUGUCGCUCCCGUACCGCGUAGAAAUGUCGCCUCCUCCGGAUCACGACGUUCCGUGAUCGCAGCUGUGCGCACAGCCGACGUUCCUCUUCCUUCUUCGUAGCCUUCCUCUCCGCCUACGAUCCGUUGGAAAUUCAAUUUCUGUGCAAACUUGUGAAAUCAAGAAGAAACGAAAAGUAGAAACUGGACAUAUUGGAUAUAGAGAAGAGCAAAUCACAAAGUAACCGAGAGAUAAAGUGACGCGAAAAAAGAAAUUCGAAAGAGAAAUUCAUAGUCGUUGUGUGUAUCGAACCAGAGAAAAAGAAAGAGCUUAUUGUCCUGAUUUAGAAGAAACGUGUUGGAGAAAGAGGGAAAAAAAUAGAAAGAGAAAAAUAGUAGACGAACGCGAGCAACUGUGCGUCAUGCGUGUAUCUACACAUAUAUCUCACAGAAUAGGAUAAAGGGCACGUGUGGGAUAGAAAUAAAUACAUAAGAGAGGAA